rnacentral:lncRNA from 1 species
CUCAUUUUUUUAUGAGACUUAAAAAAUAAUUUUAAUGUAAGGUGACUGUUUAAGGCUUCCUUAGCUCACAUGUAUUUUCAUUGUGACCUUCAUGGGAGGUGACUCUAUUUCCUUUUUUUUUCCCCCUCUUACCCAGAAAAACAUUUUCUGUUGACUGUAAUUAUUGUGACCAUGUCACCUUCAUGCAUCCAAAACAAAAGUUCUGAGCACCCAGAACAAAACACCAAAACAAAAGCCUGAGCUGAUGUGAAGUGGGAAGCUUCUUGGAGCCUUUGUUCCUGAUGUCUGUCUUCUGUCUGUAGUUCUGCAUAUGUGUUCUCAGUGUUAGUGUCAAGGUUUGCUGUCCUUUGCAUUACAGUGCUGCGGACUCUUGUGGUUUUCCUAAGACAAUAGUGUACUUGAUUUUGUAUUCGGAGAGAGCUCUCGUACAGCGGACCCUUAGAGAAUGUGGUUGUUCAUCUCAUCAGGCAUAUUUAAGGGAAGAUGGCAAAACCAGUGCAGAAGGACAGACAGACAAACUGACCCAUUCCUUAGUAUGACCAUUUAUUUAAAAGCAAUAAUUCAGAUUUCAUAUGAGCUAAUAACUAGGCUUUUAAUAGUUGAUUUAUCUUCAAAUUAAUAUAAUUUUGAUAAUGUUUGUUCUUUCUGAACAUCUUUGGGCAGUCUUCAGUUUUGUGUGUUAACUUUUUUAAAAAGUACGGUAAAAAUUGUUGUUUUUCAAACAUUUUUGUAAAACUGAACUUUCUGUAACUUCAGAGGUUUUCCAGUUCCUUUCCAUUGUUUUUGAAGGAAAGUAUCUUUUGAGUUUCAUUAAAUGUACUACUUAUAUUCUGGAUAAUUCCAUAUUUGAUCUUGUCUAGCUUGCACAAGGAUUCUUCCUGUCAGUCUAUUCAUAGAGAAAGAGAUCAUAUUUAUGUGAUACAUUGAAGUAAAUACAGGGGACUUGGGGAACAGCUUACAUGAGCUUUAGUGAAAAAUCAUGAUAUGUUUUCUUUAUUAUUAUAAGAUUCUAAGACAAAGUACCAAAUAAGAGGAAAAAAUAUACUGAAUUUGUAUAAAACAUCCAAAUAAAAGGUUAAAAAUAUGUUAAUGAUGAACUUGAGUGUGCUUUCAUGACUGUGUAUGUAAUACAUAUUUUUUCAAUGACCUUUUGAUUCUUGCAAUUCCACCCUUGGUUUCUGGUAAAAUCCCUUUAGAAUUUCUUUCUACUUGCCAAUAAAGAGAAACUCACAAGGUGGCAGCACCUGGGAGAAGAAAAUCUCUUGUCCCCCUCCAAAUGUUCCACCAUUCCCUCACAGUGUGAUAACAAGAUUUCUUUACUGGAUGUUGAGAAAGCGAUCAAUCUUUCUUUAACAAAUGUCAAGACUUUUUUAAAAAAUAAUAAAGUGAGUGAAUCUUCUCGUCCUG